CACGUAGGGGGGCGAGCGUUGUCCGGAUUUAUUGGGCGUAAAGAGCUCGUAGGCGGUUCGGCAAGCCGGGUGUGAAAUUUCGAGGCUCAACCUCGAAACGCCACUCGAUACUGCUGUGACUGGAGUCCGGUAGAGGAGUGCGGAAUCCUGGUGUAGCGGUGAAAUGCGCAGAUAUCAGGAGGAACACCAACGGCGAAGGCAGCACUCUGGGCCGGUAC
rnacentral:rRNA from 1 species